rnacentral:rRNA from 1 species
CCACAACAGGUGGAGCCUGCGGUUUAAUCGGACUCAACGCCAGGAAGCUCACCGGAUAAGACAGCGGAAUGAUAGCCGGGCUGAAGACUCUGCUUGACUAGCUGAGAGGAGGCGCAUGGCCGUCGUCAGUUCGUACUGUGAAGCAUCCUGUUAAGUCAGGCAACGAGCGAGACCCACGCCAACAGUUGCCAGCAUGUCCUCCGGGAUGGUGGGGACACUGUUGGGACCGCCUCUGCUAAAGAGGAGGAAGGAAUGGGCAACGGUAGGUCAGCAUGCCCCGAAUUAUCCGGGCUACACGCGGGCUACAAUGGUCAGGACAAUGGGCAUCAACACCGAAAGGUGAAGGCAAUCUCUUAAACCUGUCCUUAGUUCGGAUUGUGGGCUGCAACUCGCCCACAUGAAGCUGGAAUCUGUAGUAAUCGCGUCUCAAAAUGGCGCGGUGAAUAUGUCCCUGCUCCUU